GACUUCGUAGCUCAGCUGGCAGAGCAAAUGACUCUUAAUCAUUGGGUCGAGGGUUCGAAUCCCUCCGAGGUCA
rnacentral:tRNA from 1 species